AAUGAUGCCCUUUUCUCAAUCAAAACUUCCUAUUUCUGCUUCUGAGCUUGUUCGUCUGCAAUGCAACUAUCAUCAGUUUAUUGUUUUGUUGUUCAAGCAGCGUUCGUUUGAUCGAAGUGGAAGAAGUUUCUUGCAGCGGCAGCAUAUAUGUUCAAUCUGAUGGGGAACACUUGGGGUUUCUUCCAAGGAAAUUCCAUAUUCUACCAGCUGCCAUUGAAAUGAUAUGCUGAACAUGAGCUCCCUUUUGCGGAGAGAGAAAAACAAUAAGCAAAAGUUUCGUAGCCGUAGGACCCUUUUUUUCUAACGUGGACUCCUCUCUCAAAUUAGAGUAGACAAAGUGCUGUUUAUGGUAUGAGGCCAUUAGAUUUAAGGUGUUAGGACUAUUGAAAAUUAGAUAUAUUGGAUAAAACAACAACACUUGGAAGUACUGCCAUAUUUGGCCUUUUCUUAGGGGCUGGGAGUUUGAUACAUUGUGGAAAGUCAUAUUAAAUCACAAGGUCCUGUAUUACAAGUUAUGUUUAUGUGAUUAUUACCUUAAUCUUACUUUUAGCCAGCAAACAA